rnacentral:rRNA from 1 species
CCUACGGGGGGCAGCAGUGGGGGAUAUUGCACAAUGGGGGAAACCCUGAUGCAGCGACGCCGCGUGUGGGAAGACGGUCCUCUGGAUUGUAAACCACUGUCCCCAGGGACGAAGAUGACGGUACCUGGGGAGGAAGCUCCGGCAAACUACGUGCCAGCAGCCGCGGUAAUACGUAGGGAGCGAGCGUUGUCCGGAAUUACUGGGUGAAAAGGGAGCGUAGGCGGGACUGCAAGUUGGGUGUCAAAUCUACCGGCUCAACCGGUAGCCGCACUCAAAACUGCAGUUCUUGAGUGAAGUAGAGGCAGGCGGAAUUCCUAGUGUAGCGGUGAAAUGCGUAGAUAUUAGGGGGAACACCAGUGGCGAAGGCGGCCUGCUGGGCUUUUACUGACGCUGAGGCUCGAAAGUGUGGGGAGCAAACAGGAUUAGAUACCCUAGUAGUC